rnacentral:lncRNA from 1 species
AUGCCUUCGGAAAGUAUUCAGACCCCCAAGGCAUUUUUCCACAUUUUGUUACCUUACAACCUUAGAGUAUACCUAUUUAUCACCUCUUCAGCCCAGAGAGAGUAUACAUAUUUAUCACCUCUUCAACCCAGAGAGAGAGUAUACCUAUGUAUCACCUCUUCAACCCAGAGAGAGAGAGUAUACCUAUUUAUCACCUCUUCAACCCAGAGAGACAGAGUAUACCUAUUUAUCACCUCUUCAACCCAGAGAGAGAGAGAGAGAGAGUAUACCUAUGUAUCACCUCUUCAACCCAGAGAGAGAGAGUAUACCUAUUUAUCACCUCUUCAACCCAGAGAGAGAGAGUAUACCUAUGUAUCACCUCUUCAACCCAGAGAGAGAGUAUACCUAAUUAUCACCUCUUCAACCCAGAGAGAGAGAGUAUACCUAUUUAUCACCUCUUCAACCCAGAGAGAGAGUAUACCUAUGUAUCACCUCUUCAACCCAGAGAGAGAGAGUAUACCUAUUUAUCACCUCUUCAACCCAGAGAGAGAGAGUAUACCUAUUUAUCACCUCUUCAACCCAGAGAGAGUAUACCUAUUUAUCACCUCUUCAACCCAGAGAGAGAGAGAGUAUACCUAUUUAUCGCCUCUUCAAUCCAGAGAGAGAGAGUAUAUCUAUUUAUCACCUCUUCAACCCAGAGAGAGAGAGAGAGAGAGAGAGUAUACCUAUGUAUCACCUCUUCAACCCAGAGAGAGAGUAUACCUAUGUAUCACCUCUUCAACCCAGAGAGAGAGAGAGUAUACCUAUUUAUCACCUCUACAACCCAGAGAGAGAGAGAGAGAGAGAGAGUAUACCUAUUUAUCACCUCUUCAACCCAGAGAGAGAGUAUACCUAUUUAUCACCUCAUCAACCCAGAGAGAGAGUAUACCUAUUUAUCACCUCUUCAACCCAGAGAGUAUACCUAUUUAUCACCUCUUCAACCCAGAGAGAGAGUAUACCUAUUUAUCACCUCAUCAACCCAGAGAGAGAGAGAGUAUACCUAUUUAUCACCUCUUCAGACUAGAAGGGUUCAUGCAGAUUCUUGGUAGAUAG